rnacentral:rRNA from 1 species
UACGUAGGGUGCGAGCGUUGUCCGGAAUUACUGGGCGUAAAGAGCUCGUAGGUGGUUUGUCGCGUUGUCCGUGAAAACUCACAGCUCAACUGUGGGCGUGCGGGCGAUACGGGCAGACUGGAGUACUGCAGGGGAGACUGGAAUUCCUGGUGUAGCGGUGGAAUGCGCAGAUAUCAGGAGGAACACCGGUGGCGAAGGCGGAUCUCUGGGCCGUAACUGACGCUGAGGAGCGAAAGCAUGGGGAGCGAACAGG